rnacentral:rRNA from 1 species
CAGGACGAACGCUGGCGGCGUGCUUAACACAUGCAAGUCGAACGAGGAUAUGCCAGAGGAGAGCUCGGCAGGAAUCAGGCAUAUCGAGUGGCGGACGGUGAGUAACGCGUGAGCAACCUGUCCCAGACAGGGGGAUAACACUUGGAAACAGGUGCUAAUACCGCAUAAGACCACGGUAUCACAUGGUAUUGGGGUAAAAGGAGCAAUCCGGUUUGGGGUGGGCUCGCGUCCGAUUAGAUAGUUGGUGAGGUAACGGCCCACCAAGUCGACGAUCGGUAGCCGACCUGAGAGGGUGAUCGGCCACAUUGGAACUGAGAGACGGUCCAAACUCCUACGGGAGGCAGCAGUGGGGAAUAUUGGGCAAUGGGCGAAAGCCUGACCCAGCAACGCCGCGUGAAGUGAAGAAGGCCUUCGGAUUGUAAAGUUCUGUUGUAGGGGAAGAAUGAUACCUUGAGGAAAUGCUUGGUAUUUGACGGUACCUUAUUAGAAAGCCACGGCUAACUACGUGCCAGCCGCGGC